CGUCACAAAAAGACCCGAAGUUGAAGUCCUGAAGCCUCGAAAGGACCCAAAGCCAGAGCGGCUGGGAGGAUUAUCUGCAAAGCAGCUGGAUAAUAUUUGGAGCAGCUGGAUUAUCUUCAGAGCAGUUUUGAGGAUUAUCUACUGAGCGGUAGGGAGGAUUAUCUUCAGAGCAGUUUUGAGGAUUAUCUACUGAGCGGUAGGGAGGAUUGUAUUCAGAGCUGCUGUAAAGAUUAUAUUCAGAAGGAUUUAGAGUUUUCUCUGCAGAGCGUCUGGAAGAUUUCUCUGCAGAGUUCCUGGGAGGAGCAGCUGGAACAUCUUCAGAUAGGCUCGAUAAUCUUUAGAGCGGCUGGAUUAUCUUCAGAGUGUCUUGGAAGAUUACCUUCAGAGCGUCCGGAGUAUCUUCAGAGCGGCUGGGAGGAUUAUCUGCAGAAAGAGCGCCACUCCCAACAUGCUGUUGUGACUGUAGAGGAAUAUGCAAAUAAGAAGCAGAAGAAAAGAGAAGGAUAUAGCAGAAGGGAUAGAAGAGAG